CCUUUGUACACACCGCCCGUCGCUACUACCGAUUGAAUGGCUUAGUGAGGUCUCCGGAUUGGCUUUGGGGAGCCGGCGACGGCACUCUAUUGCUGAGAAGCUGAUCAAACUUGGUCAUUUAGAGG
rnacentral:rRNA from 1 species